UACGAAGGGUGCAAGCGUUACUCGGAAUUACUGGGCGUAAAGCGUGCGCAGGCGGUUGUGUAAGUCAGAUGUGAAAUCCCCGGGCUCAACCUGGGAAUUGCAUUUGAGACUGCACGGCUAGAGUGUGUCAGAGGGGGGUAGAAUUCCACGUGUAGCAGUGAAAUGCGUAGAGAUGUGGAGGAAUACCGAUGGCGAAGGCAGCCCCCUGGGAUAACACUGACGCUCAUGCACGAAAGCGUGGGGAGCAAACAGG
rnacentral:rRNA from 1 species